UCUGUAGCAAUACAGAGGCUGGCGACCGGCAAACGGGUGCGGAACACGUACACAACCUUCCUUAAAGUGGGGAAUAGCCCGGGGAAACCCGGAUUAAUACCCCGUAACAUAAUGAAGUGGCAUCACUUUAUUAUUAUAGCUCCGGCGCUUAAAGAUGGGUGUGCGGCUGAUUAGGCAGUUGGCGGGGUAACGGCCCACCAAACCUACGAUCAGUAACUGGUGUGAGAGCACGACCAGUCACACGGGCACUGAGACACGGGCCCGACUCCUACGGGAGGCAGCAGUAAGGAAUAUUGGUCAAUGGACGCAAGUCUGAACCAGCCAUGCCGCGUGGAGGAUGAAGGUCCUCUGGAUUGUAAACUUCUUUUACCUGGGAAGAAACCCAAGAUUUCUAUUUUGGUUGACGGUACCAGAUGAAUAAGCACCGGCUAACUCCGUGCCAGCAGCCGCGGUAAUACGGAGGGUGCAAGCGUUAUCCGGAUUCACUGGGUUUAAAGGGUGCGUAGGUGGGUUGGUAAGUCAGUGGUGAAAUCUCCAGGCUCAACUUGGAAACUGCCAUUGAUACUAUUAAUCUUGAAUACCGUGGAGGUCAGCGGAAUAUGUCAUGUAGCGGUGAAAUGCUUAGAUAUGACAUAGAACACCAAUUGCGAAGGCAGCUGGCUACACGAGCAUUGACACUGAUGCACGAAAGCGUGGGGAUCAAACAGGAUUAGAUACCCUGGUAGUCCACGCCCUAAACGAUGGAUACUCGACAUACGCGAUAUACAGUGUGUGUCUGAGCGAAAGCAUUAAGUAUCCCACCUGGGAAGUACGAUCGCAAGAUUGAAACUC
rnacentral:rRNA from 1 species